rnacentral:tRNA from 1 species
CAAGAAGUAGUUUAAUUUAAAAUAUUAGUUUUGGAAAUUGAUGAUAAGUGUUAACUUUUUCUUGA